ACAUCAACAAGCGUCGUAUUUCCUAUGACCAUUGAAUGCACCUCUCAGUUCACCCCACGUGAGGGCACCUAGCUCAGCAACCAAUCAGAGCCUACCCAGGCCGCAUUGACCCUGUCAGCCAGGAAGUGAAGUGGAGGUGCAUGGUGCUCCCGGGUUUUUUCUCAUCUCAGCAAGAGGAGUGGAGGCAUCUACUACUCAAACCGAGAAAUCCACGGACAAAAGAGAGGAAAACUCAGGAUUGAGAGGAAGGAAAGCCAGCGCACUUACCUGCUGGAAGUCCGGAGUCGAGUGGCUGGAUGAAGGAGAGAGGCAACGUCGGCUAACCACUCACCUUUCAUCCGGAGAGCUGCUGCAAUUCCAACGCCAGUGUGUGUUGGGCUUUUGUGAAACAGAGCAACGGUCAGGUUUUUUGGAGAGGACGGAAAAGUCCAAGGACCAGGACGAUAUUCUGGUUGUGAUAGAUGGCGAGCCAACCACUUUGAGGACGAUCUACCCCAAAGAAGAUACACACCACACACUCAUACAUUCCAGUUACAUUCACAAGGACCUUUGAAGUUGGCUAUCGCCAGCUUAACUCUAAAUUCUUAAAGGGCCCCAACGAGUACUUUUAUUUUGUUGAGUGUGCACACUAUUUAUUUUAUUUUAUACUUUAUCUGUACAAAUUGGACAAAUACCUGUUAUACUUUGUAACAAUACAAGAGUGGCUACUCAAAAGUUAA